GACGAACGCUGGCGGCGUGCUCAACACAUGCAAGUCGAACGGAAAGGCCCUGCUUUUGUGGGGUGCUCGAGUGGCGAACGGGUGAGUAACACGUGAGUAACCUGCCCUUGACUUUGGGAUAACUUCAGGAAACUGGGGCUAAUACCGGAUAGGAGCUCCUGCUGCAUGGUGGGGGUUGGAAAGUUUCGGCGGUUGGGGAUGGACUCGCGGCUUAUCAGCUUGUUGGUGGGGUAGUGGCUUACCAAGGCUUUGACGGGUAGCCGGCCUGAGAGGGUGACCGGCCACAUUGGGACUGAGAUACGGCCCAGACUCCUACGGGAGGCAGCAGUGGGGAAUAUUGCACAAUGGGCGGAAGCCUGAUGCAGCAACGCCGCGUGCGGGAUGACGGCCUUCGGGUUGUAAACCGCUUUCGCCUGUGACGAAGCGUGAGUGACGGUAAUGGGUAAAGAAGCACCGGCUAACUACGUGCCAGCAGCCGCGGUGAUACGUAGGGUGCGAGCGUUGUCCGGAUUUAUUGGGCGUAAAGGGCUCGUAGGUGGUUGAUCGCGUCGGAAGUGUAAUCUUGGGGCUUAACCCUGAGCGUGCUUUCGAUACGGGUUGACUUGAGGAAGGUAGGGGAGAAUGGAAUUCCUGGUGGAGCGGUGGAAUGCGCAGAUAUCAGGAGGAACACCAGUGGCGAAGGCGGUUCUCUGGGCCUUUCCUGACGCUGAGGAGCGGAAGCGUGGGGAGCGAACAGGCUUAGAUACCCUGGUAGUCCACGCUGUAAACGGUGGGUACUAGGCGUGGGGUCCAUUCCACGGGUUCCGUGCCGUAGCUAACGCUUUAAGUACCCCGCCUGGGGAGUACGGCCGCAAGGCUAAAACUCAAAGGAAUUGACGGGGCCCCGCACAAGCGGCGGAGCAUGCGGAUUAAUUCGAUGCAACGCGUAGAACCUUACCUGGGUUUGACAUGGAUCGGGAGUGCUCAGAGAUGGGUGUGCCUCUUUUGGGGUCGGUUCACAGGUGGUGCAUGGCUGUCGUCAGCUCGUGUCGUGAGAUGUUGGGUUAAGUCCCGCAACGAGCGCAACCCUUGUUCACUGUUGCCAGCACGUUAUGGUGGGGACUCAGUGGAGACCGCCGGGGUCAACUCGGAGGAAGGUGGGGAUGACGUCAAGUCAUCAUGCCCCUUAUGUCCAGGGCUUCACGCACGCUACAAUGGCUGGUACAGAGAGUGGCGAGCCUGUGAGGGUGAGCGAAUCUCGGAAAGCCGGUCUCAGUUCGGAUUGGGGUCUGCAACUCGACCUCAUGAAGUCGGAGUCGCUAGUAAUCGCAGAUCAGCAACGCUGCGGUGAAUACGUUCCCGGG
rnacentral:rRNA from 1 species